GGUGAUUUAGCUCAGUGGUAGAGCGCUUGCCUAGGAAGCGCAAGGCCCUGGGUUCGGUCCCCAGCUCCA
rnacentral:tRNA from 1 species